GUGAUUNGUNGUUUGCCGUUAAUAAAAUAUGGUCAGUUGUGUAUCGUGUGGUUGUUCCCUAACACCAAAACAUAAAACUUGUGGUGUAACAUUUCACAGGUUCCCGAAAGAUCAAAACAGGAGAGCAAAAUGGAUACAGUUUGUGAAUAAGUUUGAAUUUACUC
rnacentral:lncRNA from 1 species